rnacentral:rRNA from 1 species
GAUGAACGCUAGCUACAGGCUUAACACAUGCAAGUCGCAGGGUAACAUGAGGAAAGCUUGCUUUCCUUGAUGACGACUGGCGCACGGGUGAGUAACGCGUAUCCAACCUUCCCAUAACUACGGGAUAACCCGUUGAAAGACGGCCUAAUACCGUAUGAUAUCGUUUGCUGACAUCAAAUAACGAUUAAAGGUUUAGCGGUUAUGGAUGGGGAUGCGUCUGAUUAGCUUGUUGGCGGGGUAACGGCCCACCAAGGCGACGAUCAGUAGGGGUUCUGAGAGGAAGGUCCCCCACAUUGGAACUGAGACACGGUCCAAACUACUACGGGAGGCAGCAGUGAGGAAUAGUGGUCAAUGGGCGAGAGCCUGAACCAGCCAAGUAGCGUGCAGGACGACGGCCCUAUGGGUUGUAAACUGCUUUUAUGUGGGGAUAAAGUGCGUGACGUGUCAUGCAUUGCAGGUACCACAUGAAUAAGGACCGGCUAAUUCCGUG